CAAAAAGCUUAGAACAGGACGAGUAACCGCCUGAACGGCGACAGAGAGUGGGAGGCACCGAUUGAGAUCUCCCUCGACCGAAAAGCGGCGAAAACCACCUGGGAGCUGGCUUCGGAACGACUGAACAAGUAUGAAGCCCCGGUCGCCCCCGUUAACGGCAAACUCGAGCGUGACGAAAACGAUGAUUCGUUGCGAAAAUUGGGUGGAACCGCGUGAGAAAGGCCUCUCGCCCCAGUG
rnacentral:ncRNA from 1 species